UGCUUUGAAUCGGAUAAACCGCCGCUCGAGCUCGCGAGCACGCGGUGUGCGCAUGCGCAGGACUGCCGAAAGCGAAGCGUGUGCACUGCGCAUGCGCGGGGCCGCUUGUAAACAAUGCGCGUCUCAGUGUGUCCUUAUUGCAUUGUGCGUCCUUUCUGAGCAGCUGCGGCGCGCAUCGGACCCGGAUGUGUUUGUCCGUCGUGCAGCACAGGAGCUGGAUUUAAUCCGGCCUGAACGCAGCAUGGAGGCCGCUCUGACUCGGCUGAAGUCUCUGAGUGCCGACGAGCUCAGGGAGGAGAUCCUCAAAGCGAACCUGAAGUGCGGCCCCAUCACGGCCACCACGCGCGCCGUGUUCGAGCGCAAACUCGCCCGCGCCCUCGUCGGGAACGCCGGACUCUCCGCUCCGGAAUCUGGAGGCUCCGCCGCCGCCACGGCUGAAGAGGGGGAGGUCGGGUACCAUCUCGGUCUCAACCCGCCUGAGGAGGAGCCACUGAGCGAGAAGAGCAUGUCUCCGUCACGGCAUGACGUCCAGACGCCGAACAGAACGCCUCAGACCACGCCCACGCUCUACUACGGGGUGUGUCCGUUGUGGGAGGACGUGUUGGCCAGAAACGAAAGGGUUCACGUGUACAUGGAUAAGAAGGAGGCUCUGCAGGCGGUGAAGAUGAUGAAGGGCGCUCGCUUCAAGGCCUUCUCUACUCGAGAGGAUGCUGAGAAGUUCGCCAAGGGACUCUGUGAUUACUUCCCCUCCCCGAGCAAGUGCGCCCCCUGCGUGUCGCCCGUGAAGACCGCCCUCGUCUUCGGCAAAGAGGGCUCGUCUCUGGCGGAGACGGACGGGACGAACAGGGAAAAGGCGAACAGCUUCAAGAGUCCUCGUCCUCAGGACCUGACGGCGAGGCUGCGAGUGUGUGUGGAGCGAGGUGACGAGGUUGCCUUCACCGAGCUGGUGUGGAGCAACCCGCGCUACCUCAUCGGCUCCGGAGACAACCCCACCGUGCUGCAGGAGGGCUGCAGGUAUAAUGUGAUGCAUGUUGCAGCGAAGGAGAACCAGGCGGGCGUGGCUCAGCUGCUGCUCGACACGCUGGAGAAUCCGGACUUCAUGCGCCUCAUGUAUCCCGACGAUACGGAGAGCAUGCUGCACCAGCGCAUCCGCUACAUCGUGGACCUGUACCUCAACACGCCCGAUAAAGCCUGCUUCGAGACUCCGCUACACUUUGCGUGUAAGUUCGGUUGUGCGGCCGUGGUGAACGUCCUCUGCUCUCAUCCCCACAUCGACAAACACAGGAAGAACAAAUACGACCAGCGACCCUGCGAGAUUAUUUGUGAGCGCAUGAAGGAAAAAAACAAAAUCCCAGACAUCAAGCAGAAGAUCUCGGAGUAUCUGGAAGACCGGUGUUACGUGCCCCUCCUCCGAGCAGCCGACAACUCCGCCCAGCCCGUGAUCGGCGCCCGCUGGUCACCUGAGCCGAUGGAACACCGCUCACUGCAAUUACCCAGAAGCCCCCGGGAACCCGUGAUGGCGGUGAGGGCCUUCGCCGGCCCCCUGAGCCCCUCUAAAGCGGACGAGUUCAGGCGUGUGUGGAAGACGCCCCCUAGAGAGCGGGCGGAGCAUUUCCACCACAUCCUCAAGUCGGACCCCGAGCGUGGAGCGGAGCGAGUCGGCAGAGACCUGGCGCAUGAGCUGGGCCACCCCUGGGCUGAGUACUGGGAUUUCUUGGACAGUUUUGUGGACUUGGUGUCAGUAGAGGGUCUGUGGCGAUUGGAGGAGUUCCUGAGCAAGAAGGACUUCAGUGAGCGCGCUCGAGACCAGGCUGGAGAACUCAAUAACAGCAACAAGUUCAGAACUCCGUCCCCGGGAAAGCAGAAGUUGUUCAGUAACUCGGUGUCGGUCGGAGCGUUCCUGGACGAGACCGAUAUCUCGCUGGAGGAGAUCAAGAACCGACAGAACGCGGCGCUCACCAGCAUCUCGUCCUCCUCCGCUUCCUCCUCCUCCUCCUCCUCUGCCUCCUGCUGCUCUAAAGACGACCUGGGUGGGCGGGGCUUCCACAUCCUGCCUGUCUCACAAGACUCCGCCCUGAUCGAGCCACGAAACCCCGCCUCUUCCUGCCCGCCAUCGCCCAUUUCCAACCUGAUGGCGGAGUUCGAGCGUAUGACGCUGCGCGAGCACCCGGUGGGAGGUGAACAGGAAGGGGCGGAGCUUUCGAGCGCGAGUUCGGACGAGUACUUCCUGGCGCAGGAGAGCAUGGAGGAGGAUGAGCAGAGAGCGAGGACUCGAUUGGGAUCAAACAGCGAGCGAUUGCUCUGUUCGCGCUCCAGAUCAUGGGAUCACACAAGCUCCGCCUCCUCCUCCACCUCUGGAUCUUAUAGAUCAUUGGAGCGUUCGAAUGACCUCAUCCUGACCACGCCCCCUCGAAUCAGGAAAGGGCUGUUCAUUGAGGGAGACGCUCCCUCCAGACUGGACCGUGAUGUUUUUGCUGCAGUGGGAGGAGUCGAAAUCGACCCGCUCAAAUAUCCCAGCAUUCACAAGUGGAAAAGCACCAUCGAGUCGUACACCAGCGCAGAGAUGCGGAGUUGGCAGACUCCGGCUGUGUUAAAGACUCACUCCAGACUCCAGUCUUUGACUCCCGGUUCUCCUGUGAGUCGUUACAGUCCGGCCCGACACGCCUACUCGCCGGACUGCACCAGUCCCGGACGCUACAGCCCCGCCCACUGCAGCUACAGCCCCGCCCAUACCAGUUACAUCCAGCGCAUCCGCCUCAAGCACUUAGGAGACUCGCCGAUUUAACAAACGCUUGGCGUGGACUCUGUGUCCCGGCGUCUGUCCGUCUCAGACACACGGAGCUCCACCGCUGCAGCAGAACUUUACUGCGCGAAAAAACGUUUAGAGUGAACAGAACUGAUUAACGUCGUACGGUAGAGGAACGAUCCAGACUGAAACGUGCAGAAGAGGAAGAUGAAUGGAACGUUCGAGACGUUAACGUGAAUUAAACACACACACACACACACACACACUGCUGAAUCUGAAGUUACAAUUUAAUUGAAGUCACAACAAAGAAAACUGCAACAAAGUGUCCAGACAUGACUGCUCCCAAUCCCGGCCGUGCUCUCCUGCUGACGAGCGCGAUCCGUACACGACAUCUCACACACCCCGAGUGCUGGCUUUCAGAACAACAUCUGGAUUUAAGGUCGAGGUGUGUGCUGAUACUGACCGAGACACGAAACAUGGAACAUCUGGAUUAAAAUAAAAUCACUGAACUGACGGAACGCCGGAGGAGCGCGAGAUUUGGGAUUUUCCCUCGUCGCACGUACACGCUCCCUGAAGAGCAUUAUGGGAUUGAGGGACAGACGAGCAGAUCUCCUGAUCCACAUCAAGGCCUCUGGGUUUUUAUGGGUUUCUGCACCUCGCUGUUUAAAAAGAACGAUCAGGAGUCGGUAUUUCCUGAAAAGCGUCCUGAUCGGGGUUUUAAAGCGAAAUAAACAGAGCCAGAUAAAUAUAAACACCAUGCUGGUUUUCUCUCGUUUAACCGAGUCUGCAUUCAGGAAGAACAAUCACUAACGCUUCCUCGUUAAUCCAGACUCGUACGAUAGGAUAUAAAAACACCAAUACUGUACCCACACACACACACACACACCACCACCACAACACAAACACGCUGUAAACACACUGAAGGAGUUAUGUUAGGGAUUUGAUCAGAUAUACCGCAGAUCUGUCACAACGUGCUGAAGAGAUUUAAUCGCUCCGAAUGGUACAAACUUCAGACCGGGAUUGGGGUUCGAGCAGCCGAACGUACCGAGUGCUCGGAAUCACUCUAGAAACAAAUCAGGACCAAAUCGGAAUAGAGAAAAGAACGAAAUCUGAAUCAGAUCGGAUACUGUGAAUCAGAAUCGGAUCAGAACCGCGUAGGCACCAGAACGGAAUCCAAACAUGAGACGUGAAAUGACUCUGAACCCGAGUCAGAGUCCAAACGGAAAAGAGAUAAAAAAACUGAACCAGAAACCGUUCAGGACAAAGAUGAACCAGUGCUGAAUCAGAGUCAGAUCAGACAUGAUUCAGUACCGAGUCACUUUGCCCUUCUGGUUCUGUGAUGAGUUAAUAAUCAGGUGGUCAGGAAUACGAAUCACUAAACACAGGAAAUGUGCUCUCUGUGCGGCCAGAGACCAGGUUCUGACUCGGACGGUUCUGGUUCAGAAGUGGAUCGGGGGGG